GCUCAGGAUGAACGCUGGCGGCGUGCCUAACACAUGCAAGUCGAGCGGACCAAUGCCCAUUUCAGCUUUACUGAUUUGAGCAACGGUUAGCGGCGGACGGGUGAGUAACGCGUGGGCAACCUGCCCUGUGCAGGGGGAUAACACAGCGAAAGCUGUGCUAAUACCCCAUAAGACUACGCUAUCGCAUGAUAGAGUAGUCAAAGCUUUAGCGGCACAGGAUGGGCCCGCGUCUGAUUAGCUAGUUGGUGGGGUAACGGCCUACCAAGGCGACGAUCAGUAGCCGACCUGAGAGGGUGAUCGGCCACACUGGAACUGAGACACGGUCCAGACUCCUACGGGAGGCAGCAGUGGGGAAUAUUGCACAAUGGGGGAAACCCUGAUGCAGCAACGCCGCGUGAGCGAAGAAGGCCUUCGGGUCGUAAAGCUCUGUCCUAAGGGAAGAAGUAUGACGGUACCUUAGGAGGAAGCCCCGGCUAACUACGUGCCAGCAGCCGCGGUAAUACGUAGGGGGCGAGCGUUAUCCGGAAUCACUGGGCGUAAAGGGUGCGUAGGCGGCCGAGUAAGCCAGGGGUGAAAGGCUACGGCUUAACCGUAGUAAGCCUUUGGAACUACUUGGCUUGAGUGCAGGAGAGGAGAGUGGAAUUCCUAGUGUAGCGGUGAAAUGCGUAGAUAUUAGGAGGAACACCAGUGGCGAAGGCGACUCUCUGGACUGUAACUGACGCUGAGGCACGAAAGCGUGGGGAGCAAACAGGAUUAGAUACCCUGGUAGUCC
rnacentral:rRNA from 1 species